rnacentral:sRNA from 1 species
GCCGGGCGUUGUGGCGGGCGCCUGUGGUCUCAGCUACUUGGGAGGCGGAGACAGGAGACUCGCUUGAGCCCAGGAGUUGGAGGUUGCUGUGAGCUGUAAUGCCACGGCACUCUACCCAGGGGGACAGCUUGAGGCUCUGUCUCAAAAAAAAAAAAAAGAGAUAGAGUCUCACUUUAUCACCCUCAGUAGAGUUCCGUGGCAUAACAGCUCACAGCAACCUCCAACUCCUGGGCUUAGGCAAUUCUCUUG